GGAUAAGGCCAUAAGACGAGAAGACCCUAUGGAGCUUUAGACGCCAGGAUAAAUCAUGUCAAACACCCCUAAACACAGGGUUGAACCAAAUGAAAAUUAUCCCAUGUCUUUGGUUGGGGCGACCACGGGGAAAUAAAAAACCCCCGCGUGGACUGGAAUUAUACAAUUCCACAACUAAGAGCCCCCGCUCUAGUUAACAGUAUCACUGACCAAUGAGAUCCGGCAAAGCCGAUCAACGGACCGAGUUACCCUAGGGAUAACAGCGCAAUCCCCUUUUAGAGCCCAUAUCGACAAGG
rnacentral:rRNA from 1 species